rnacentral:tRNA from 1 species
GGGCUUGUAGUUCAGUUGGCUAGAACGCUUCCAUGGCAUGGAAGAGGUCAGGGGUUCGAGUCCCCUCAAGUCCACCA